CUGGGAGGGAACUGAACAAACUGGCUGCUGAGGUGAAGCUGUUGCUGUCAGGAUUUCUACAUCCAAAGGGGUAGGCAGUUACAGUCAGUGCCCCUCGAUGAAGUUUUCUCUACAGCAGUCAUUUACUGUAAGGCAGCCGCUCGCUGGCCCCCUAAAGACUGCUCCAGCUGUGUUGGCGAAAUUACUGGAGCCAACGAUGCGUGCCUGGAGUGUAUGUGGGUCAGUGCUAUAGCAUGAAAGGAAGCUUUUAUUGUGAAAUGGGUCCCCCACUACUGUGUCAUUGUGCUCCCCCUCUCACAACAGACAGUGGCGGGUCAUUGGCGGCACAUCCUCAGCUCCAUAGUCUGGGAGGGGAGCAUGAUGUAAGAGUGUCCAGAGAUGCUGCGAGGAGCAGAGGCCCAGCUGCCACACCUACAUGAGUUUAUAGAAGAGCACCUUGGUAGCAAACAGCUUCAUGUAGUUUAACACUAGGAAGGUCUGUUGUUUUAAAUUUCAUAAUUAAAACAUCUACGCUUUCUCACAAACCAGUGCAAUAUUUACAAAAUCAUACAUGCCAACACUGCCAGGUGAAAACUCAAAAUGAAUGAUUUUCAUGUUCAUUUAGAGAAGAGAAUGGAAUAAUACAAUCUUUAAAAAGCUUCUUUCUCUCAGGUUUACCAAGCUGGACAAGUAGAUUUAUUCCUUUUUCUUAUAAAAUGUAUGUAAAAGUGGUUGAAGCCUUGAGAAAGGUUGUGUGGCAGAAAGCAUUGGCCACAGGGGAUGACAGACUGAGUAGUAGUGAUUAUAGGGGAGGUAGGAGACGUUAACAGGACUUGUUUUUGUCUGCGUGCAGAUGGCACACUGUUUGUAACGAGAUCCCACGGGCUGCACUAUUCAUAAGGGACAGAUGUGUGUGUGUGUGUGUGUGUGUGUGUGUGUGUGUGUGCUGUGCAGAGAGACAGAGGAUAUGAGAACACUUUACAUCUACUUGUGUCAAAAAGUCACAUUGUGUGUGACAGUAUUUGUCUGCACAAUGAGUGUAUGUGAAUCACAGCUAGGUGAGUCAGUGAUCACAUAUGACAGAUCCACCACGAUGCAGACAAAAUCGGAAAAUAUAUGUAGAUUCAUCAGUGAUCAAAAAUGUGGUUUGGAUAAGCUCCAUGGCCUUAAUUGGGACCUAUUCUCCUUGUUAGUCCAGCACCAACUAUGUUGGAGCCCUAUUGUUUCUGUUUUGGCUUUCAUUAAUAUCAUCCUGUCUCCGCCUACUAAAGUGGCCCAAAUGACAAAGGUGGAACAUUUUCAGGGUGGGUAUGAGAAGUUCCAACUGGAAAAAAACAAAUGACACGGAACAACCAUAGGGGGGCACUGUUAUAAAGACAUGGCGUGUUUUUGUUCAUAACUCCACAUUCCAAUACUUUGGUAACAUCAUUAAUGUAAACUUUAAAUUGACAAUUAAAUUUAACAACUAAUACAUUUUCUGUUUACAAAUUAUUAUUAUUGCCUUAAUUUAUGUUGUUUUAUUAUUAGUUUAUAAUUUACAUGUUGUAUUGUAGCUAAUAAGAAUAACAAUUACAAGUACAUUAGAAACAGUUUAUUGUUGCACAUUUUAUACUUAAAAUGUUUAAAAUAUUAAAUAUUUGUUAAUGAUUACCAAAUUAUUUGUAAAUGUUUAUGGAAUUGUUUGUAAAAAAAAAUCUAUAAACAUUACAAAGAUAUGUAGAUUUUGUCUUCCAGCCACGUGACUGGGUUCUUUGUUUACAAAAAAACUCAAAUAGAUCUUGCUA